AUUGAACGCUGGCGGCAUGCCUUACACAUGCAAGUCGAACGGUAACGGGCCUUCGGGUGCCGACGAGUGGCGAACGGGUGAGUAAUGCAUCGGAACGUACCUUUCAGUGGGGGAUAACGUAGCGAAAGUUACGCUAAUACCGCAUAUUCUGUGAGCAGGAAAGCAGGGGAUCGCAAGACCUUGCGCUGAUUGAGCGGCCGAUGUCAGAUUAGCUAGUUGGUGAGGUAAAGGCUCACCAAGGCGACGACCUGUAGCGGGUCUGAGAGGAUGAUCCGCAACACUGGAACUGAGACACGGUCCAGACUCCUACGGGAGGCAGCAGUGGGGAAUUUUGGACAAUGGGGGCAACCCUGAUCCAGCCAUGCCGCGUGAGUGAAGAAGGCCUUCGGGUUGUAAAGCUCUUUCGGUCGGGAAGAAAUCGCAUGGGUUAAUACCCUGUGCGGAUGACGGUACCGGCAUAAGAAGCACCGGCUAACUACGUGCCAGCAGCCGCCGUAACAC
rnacentral:rRNA from 1 species